rnacentral:misc_RNA from 1 species
AUCUCACCGACAACGUCAACUCGAUGGCAAAUAACCUGACAGGUCAGGUCCGCAACAUCGCCGAGGUCACCAUUGCUGUUGCGAACGGCGACCUUUCAAAAAAGAUCACCGCCGACGUCCGCGGCGAGAUCCUGGAAGUGAAGGAAACGAUCAACACGAUGGUCGAUCAACUUCGCUCGUUCGCCGCUGAGGUNNNCGAAGUCGGCACUGAAGGCAAGCUCGGCGGUCAGGCGCAGGUACCCGGCGUGGCCGGCACC